rnacentral:rRNA from 1 species
UACGUAGGGUGCGAGCGUUAAUCGGAAUUACUGGGCGUAAAGCGUGCGUAGGCGGUUCGCAAAGUCUGAUGUGAAAGCCCCGGGCUCAACCUGGGAACUGCAUUGGAAACUAACGGGCUCGAGUGUGGCAGAGGGGGGUGGAAUUCCACGUGUAGCAGUGAAAUGCGUAGAGAUGUGGAGGAACACCGAUGGCGAAGGCAGCCCCCUGGGCUAACACUGACGCUGAGACGCGAAAGCGUGGGGAGCAAACAGG